UCCACGAUCGUGUCUUCAUCGGUCUUU
rnacentral:sRNA from 1 species